CCAACUCCUUAAGCUAAUUACACCUGCAAAAUCCUUCUUUCCACAUAAGGUAACAUAGCACAGGUUGUGGGGAAUAGCACAGGGACAUCUUAGGAACCAUUAUUCUGCCUACCACACACCCCCAUUUCUCUCAUCUUUGAAUUCUUACUUGUCCCUCCCCUGUACUUCUUAUUUCAAUAAACAGCUUUAUCAUUCAUUUUGAAUCCUAGAGCUAACUAUUGAUUCUCUUCUUUCUCUUACCAGUAAUUUUCAGAAAUUUGCCAAAAUCCAAUGCUUGAGCAAAUUUUGUUCAUUCUAUCUCCAAUAUCCUUCUUAAUUAUCUACUAUAAUCCCAGUCGUGGUUACCACCAAAUCUCAUCCUGAUGAUGGUAAAAGCCUCCUUGUUGGUCUCUCCAUCCACUAUUGCUUUACUCCUAUCUCUAUACUAUCUCUGUAGUCUGUAUCUACAGAUGAAAUCAUACUUUUUUUUUUUUUUUUUGAACUUAUUUUGUAUUGAAGUGAAGUGAAGUGAAGUGAAAGUCGAUCAGCCGUGUCUGACUUUUUGCAACCCCAUGCACUCGUCCAUGGAAUUCUGGCCAGAAUACUGGAGUGGAUAGCCUUUCCCUUCUCCAGGGUAUCUUCCCAACCCAGGGAUCGAACCCGUGUCUCCCGCAUUGCGGGCGGAUUCGUUACCAGCUGAGCCACAAGGGAAGCAGAAGAAUACUGCAGUGGGUAGCCUAUCCUUUCUCCAGGGGAUCUUCCUGACCCAGGAAUCAAACCGGGGUCUCCUGCAUUGCAGGCGGAUUCUUUACCAGCUGAGCUACCAGGGACAUAGCCAAUUAGCAAAGUUGUGGUAGUUCCAGGCGAACAGCAAAGGGACUGAGCCAUAAAAGGGACCCGAUGCAUCUCCCAUCCAGGCUGUCCCAUAAUACUGAGCAGCAGUUCCAUGUUCUAUACAGUAGAGUCUUGCUGAUUAUCCAUUUUAAAUAUAGCAGUGUGUACAUGUCCAUCCCAAACGUCCUAAGGAUCCCUUCUCCUGCUCCAACCAGAAGUUCCUUUUCUAAGUCUGUGAGUCUCCUUCUGUUUUCUAAGUUCAUUUGUAUCAUUUUUUAGAUACCAUAUAUAAGGGGUGUCAUAUCAGAAUCAUACUUUUAAAAAUGCAAAUUUGAUUAAGUCACUCUCUUUCAAAAGAUCUUUCAAUGGCUUGGUGUAUCUCAAUUCAACAUAAAGAAAUUGGUUCUUCAUUUUCUGUACACUGUGCGUGUUGCCUGCAACAGACUCUUCGGCAGAGUGCAGGCGUUUCUUUAGCUGACCUAUUACCCACGCGGAUUCUUGAGAAGGGGAAAAAUCGUGCAGGGGUGUAUGAAAGCGAAGCUGUGAGAAUCCACCGCUUCUGCCCCGAGCUGCCCACCCUCACACGUAGAACACAUCAAGGAGAUGACAGCUCUGCCUAAUUUUCCUCCUGUACCAGGAUCUCUAAGGUGUUCCUUGGGAGCGAGACUUGUUAGAAGCCAUGCAAACCCGGAGUAGACAAGACCUCGCUCACCAAGGGGAAGUUGUGGUCAACAGAUUUUUGUCGGGAACCUUCGCUGCACUUCUCAAACCCAGGGAGCGGCAUCCGGGGAGUGGUCCUUGCCUCCGCUGCACUUUCCCCGACUUCGGUUUUCUCCGAGAUCGCCUCUGGUUCCUUGGGCGCUUGGGACGGACGGGCACCUCCUCUCCGUGGAAACGGGACCCUCUCCGGCUGCCGUCGCCCGGAUCUCCGGCUCGGCUCGGGAGGAGCACUCCGGGCGAUUCUGGCGCUGCUCGCGCGCCCGGCGGCCGGGGGUGAGGUGCGCGGGCGCGUGUCUCUUUCCAAGGGCUGAGCGCGCGAGAAGGCAGGUCGGCUCUGGGAAUCCCCUCGGUUCCGGACCCCGGUGGCGCUGCUCCAGUUCCUCUCUUCGUGGGGCUUCUGCUGGGCCCCGUGCAGAUGCUGGCCGACUGCCGCACGGAAUUCCUUGCGUUUGCCUCAUUUGUACAGAGACUGUCUAUAGCAGAAUGUGGCGCGGGUCAUAGGGAAAGAAAAGGGCAUUGGGGGAUUCGACAGAGACAAAAAAUAUGAGGAUGAGACAGAUCUGGAAGUGAGGUCUUUUGGAAAAUGAUGCUUGGUAAAUCAUGUGGAUCUUUUCUAGAGCUCAUAAACGGCAAAAUGAAGAUCAACAAAGACACUCGGUUUGGAUCAACUUUUAAUUAUUUUUGUAAUAAAGGAUGAGUUGGCAGUAGCAUUGUUUGGGAUAACAGUUCUAGAAUUGUAACAGUAGUCUUUAAAUAAUAGUCUCAGAGUCAAACUACUUAUUCAUUCAAAAUAUAACUUUAAGUUUUCUAAGUAGAGAUGGUGACUUGAACCCAGGCAUUUAACUACCCUUGCAAUGACUAAACAAAUAUUUGAAAAAAAUAGGAAAAAACUGUAUGCAAGAUAGA